GACGUAGGGGACGAGCGUUGUCCGGAUUCAUUGGGCGUAAAGCGCGCGUAGGCGGUUACGCAAGUCGGUUGUGAAAAUCCGGGGCUCAACCCCGGACCUGCAUCCGAUACUGCGUGACUAGAGGUAGGUAGGGGAGAUCGGGAAUUCCUGGUGUAGCGGUGAAAUGACGCAGAUAUCAGGAGGAACACCGGUGGCGAAGGCGGAUCUCUGGGCCUUACCUGACGCUCAGGCGCGAAAGCUAGGGGAGCGAACAGG
rnacentral:rRNA from 1 species